rnacentral:lncRNA from 1 species
AUGGACAGGUCUCAGUAUAUAUGGGAGGGCCACAGACAGCUGCAUGACACGCGCUACUAUUCCAAACUAGAGGCUCCCAUAUAUACUGAGACCGUUCCGAUGAUCGUCGACUUGAUCCACUCCCUGUGGAGGAAAAAAUAUAUUACGCGCGCGCAGCGGGAUUACCUCCUUGGGGAUGCCCAACCCAGGCCCAGGCUCUUCUAUAUGUUACCCAAGAUUCAUAAGGAGCCUGUGGCCUGGAGCGAACCCUUUAAGAUCCCACCUGGUCGUCCCAUAGUCUCGGACUGCAGCAGUGAAACCUACCACACGGCCGAAUACAUAGAUUACUACCUCUAUCCGUUAUCCAUCUCCCAUGCGAGCUAUGUUAAAGAUACCUACGACUUCGUUGCCAAGGUCCGCGCUCUUAGAAUCCCUGUACACGCUUUCCUCUUCACUAUGGACGUGGACAGCUUGUACACUAACAUCGAUAUCGCUGGGGGCAUGCGAGCAGUGCGUAAUGCGUUCAAUGCCUGUCCUGACGUCACGCGCCCCGACGACGAACUUCUUCGUUUUCUGGAGAUUAAUCUCACUCGCAACGAUUUCCUCUUUAACGAGGAGUUCUUCCUCCAAGUCAAGGGCAUGGCUAUGGGGAAGAAGUUCGCUCCCUCGUAUGCCAACCUUUUCAUGGCACAGUGGGAGACUUCGGCGCUCGCCGCCUGUCCUCUACGCCCCCUUUCUUACAUGCGCCAUUUGGAUGAUAUUUGGGGUAUCUGGCAACACUCGGAAGCGGAAUUCGAUUGUUUUCUAAAUAUCCUAAACACGCACGAUCCGUCCAUCACGCUCAAAUCGUGCAAGCACUUUUCAUCGGUAGACUUCCUGGACACUACAACGUUUAAAGGACCUGACUUCGCAACGUCCCUCACGUUGGAAGUCAAAGUCUUUUUUAAACCCACAGACACACACGCGCUCUUGCAUGCGAGCAGCUUUCACCCGAAACACACAUUCGCAGGACUACUAAAAUCACAACUCCUACGGUUUCAACGGAUCUGUUCCAGAACCUCUGAUUUCUGGCAAGCGGUCAGGGUUCUGUUUGAGGCUCUUGCCCUCAGGGGUUAUUCGCGUUCGGCCCGCCGUCUUUCGCUUAAGGUGUUCAAAUUAGUGCGUCCGCCUGUUGAGGGACACCGUAUACCUUUUGUGACGACAUAUUCCACCUCCUCCGCUCGCCUGACCCGACUGGUCAGGGCGAACUUUCAACACCUCCUGGACUCUACCACUUACCUUCCUGACUACGGCAUUAUCGCGGCCUACAGGAGGAACAAGAAUAUUAGAGAUCUGUUAGUGAGGGCCAAACUACGCCCCCUGUCGGAGCCCAGAGUCAACAGACUCUCUUAUUUUUAUAACUUUAUCCCGUGGGCCCGAAACCGGAACAAUGGGAACGUUUUCCCCACUGAUCGCCAUGCCGAUCUUAACACGAGAAAUUGUGUGUACCUUAUCCGCUGCCUUACCUGUGAUCUCCAAUACGUGGGAGAAACGGGGAAUACAGUUCGUGUCCGCUUCUACCAGCACAGAUACAACAUCACACACAAAAGAGACGCUCACCUACCUGUGGUUGCGCAUUUUGUUGAACACGGAUGGCAGGCCCUUUCCGCGUCUGUGCUCGAAGCAAACCCUUUUUGGUCCACCGCCCAACGGCGCAGGGCUGAAAGGAUAUGGAUUGUCAGGCUGGGAACAUGGCAACCCCUUGGCUUGAACGUUGGGUUGGGCCGGGGACCCCCGAGGUUUCGCCUGAUGAUGGCCCGUGCCAGCGACGACACGGUGGCGUCGUUAAUUGUUGAUUGUCCUAACCCUAACCCUAACCCUAACCCUUAUUUAACACCAGACAGAAGUCUGCAGACACUGCCGCCCUUUGGACACUUUUUUCAUUACAACAUGACCAUGGGCAAAUCAUUUAAUAUUAAUUACAAAAGUACAAUAUUUACUAAUUACAAAAGCCAAUUUUAA